rnacentral:rRNA from 1 species
UUUGGUUAAGUUAGAAAGGGCGCACGGUGGAUGCCUUGACACUAGGAGUCGAUGAAGGACGGGACUAACGCCGAUAUGCUUCGGGGAGCUGUAAGUAAGCUUUGAUCCGAAGAUUUCCGAAUGGGGA